UGCAUAUCAAAAUAAGCGGAGGAAAAGAAACCAACCGGGAUUGCCUUAGUAACGGCGAGUGAAGCGGCAAAAGCUCAAAUUUGAAAUCUGGUACCUUCGGUGCCCGAGUUGUAAUUUGGAGAGGGCAACUUUGGGGCCGUUCCUUGUCUAUGUUCCUUGGAACAGGACGUCAUAGAGGGUGAGAAUCCCGUGUGGCGAGGAGUGCGGUUCUUUGUAAAGUGCCUUCGAAGAGUCGAGUUGUUUGGGAAUGCAGCUCUAAGUGGGUGGUAAAUUCCAUCUAAAGCUAAAUAUUGGCGAGAGACCGAUAGCGAACAAGUACAGUGAUGGAAAGAUGAAAAGAACUUUGAAAAGAGAGUGAAAAAGUACGUGAAAUUGUUGAAAGGGAAGGGCAUUUGAUCAGACAUGGUGUUUUGUGCCCUCUGCUCCUUGUGGGUAGGGGAAUCUCGCAUUUCACUGGGCCAGCAUCAGUUUUGGUGGCAGGAUAAAUCCAUAGGAAUGUAGCUUGCCUCGGUAAGUAUUAUAGCCUGUGGGAAUACUGCCAGCUGGGACUGAGGACUGCGACGUAAGUCAAGGAUGCUGGCAUAAUGGUUAUAUGCCGCCCGUCUUGAA
rnacentral:rRNA from 1 species